UUGUGGGAAUCUACGUUAUGAGAAGCAUUUUGCACGCAGCUGGCUAUGCAGCAUUGUUAGCGCAAAUCCAGUAUUCGUGGGUGGGACGCGAUUACAGCGAACUAGAUCGAGAGAGUGCGUGUGCGUGCACGACGACAGCAACAAGACGUACGACGGUAAUAACGAUUGCAUGGUUUGUACGAACGAUCGAAUUGAUGUGAACGAGUGGCAUGGAUCCGUGUGCGAGAUGGGUGAGAAAUGCAGAAACUAAAUGCUCACCGACGGCAGUACGUGGUCUCACCUGGAGGGCGCAAGUGGCUGACGACGGCGAUACUGUAGCACAACCGGAAGCCCGUGUACUUUUAUAACCAUUCGGACAAGUGGCCGGGCCGUGAUGACGCUGCGAAUUCGGCGCAGCGUUGUCGUACUCGCACACUAUGUGCACCAGCAAAAGAGCAUGCAGGCCUCGAUGCUUGAUUAAGCGGCCUAGUAACGACGAGAAGGGCCGUGAAAGUCCGAUACGAGCUUCGGGAGGAACGAGGCACGUUGCUGUCCGGCGCUGGAAACAAACGCUCGUGGGAAACUUGCUUUUUCAACCGCUGUUUGAACAGAUGCAACCACCACCCUUCGUUCUACUGCCGAGAUGCCGGCAUCUUACGGAUGCCACCUGGCUCGAACGCAGCCCUCUGCAACCAGGCUGCAGCACAGUGAAGUGAGUAAGCAAUGCUAAGAGGGUGGCCUUCCCAGGCAGACAAGCACUUUGUGUUCCACGGGCAGGGUGACCUUUGAAGCAAGCAGUGAUGACAAUCUGCAUGUACCCAUCAGACACUGAACAGCCGCUGAGGAACUUGUUGACAAUGAACCCAGGUGUGCUUUCGGGAAGGACACGGAAUGACAAAGGCCGAGCUCGUGCUGCCUGGAGUUCAACAAGAACAAAGAACAGCAGACGCAACCAUUUGUGCGAAAAUCAGAUUGGCUAGGCUUCUUGGCCAAGAGACUGCGUGACAAUGUUUGUUGCAGCACUCGGGGACAAAAACAGACAAAUAACUUCUGCUCGGUUACCUCAAGUUGGAAAAGGGAUGUUGUGCAGAAUAGAAGUCAAUAAAGAUAUACA